AUACCUUUCUCGGCCUUUUGGCUAAGAUCAAGUGUAGUAUCUGUUCUUAUCAGUUUAAUAUCUGAUAUGUGGGCCAAUGGUUCACAUGAUAUUAAAUUUAUUUCUUGAGGGGAAGAGUCCACCACAAUAGCUUGCUAUUAGGUCUCUUGAGUGUCGCUUUUGUGUUGCACUACUGCAUUGGCUUGGCGCACCCCAC
rnacentral:snRNA from 1 species